rnacentral:rRNA from 1 species
UACGAAGGGGGCUAGCGUUAUUCGGAAUCACUGGGCUUAAAGCGCGUGUAGGCGGGUCGCUGCGUCGGCUGCUGAAAUCCCCCGGCUCAACCGGGGAACGGGCACCGAUACGAGCGGCCUGGAGGGGGGUAGGGGGGUCUGGAACUUCCGGUGGAGCGGUGAAAUGCGUUGAGAUCGGAAGGAACGCCCGUGGCGAAAGCGAGGCCCUGGACCCUUUCUGACGCUGAGACGCGAAAGCCAGGGGAGCGAACGGG